GGGAGGGGACAUUAGGACUUAGCACGAGAGCCACCGGGCUCUGGGCUGCGGAGGAGGUUGGAGGUGACCUUCCAGAAGGAACGUGGGACAAGGGAGCAAGUGAGGACCUGGUGGGUAGUGGUUACUCUGUGAGAAGCCAGCAGCACCAACCAAAUAGAAGGUGGAGAAGUGGCCCCCAGCUUCCCAGUUUGGGUUUGGGCCAAGACAACUAAGAAAAGGGUCCACCGUCUUCACUCCAGGUCAGCACAAGAAAGCUGCCAUGAUGGCUCCUGUGGAGAGACUCCCAUGCCUGCAGGUGGAAACCGAGGGGAUGAAGAUGAGAAGACCUCUACCCGGCACUGGUUUGGAAAACAGAGGACUGUCCCCUGAGCCUGCCAGCGAGUCACAUGUUUGGGUCCCUCAGCAGCCAGAGAAACGAUGAUACAGGACACUGGGGCAGGACAAAGGAGUGUGGCAGUAUUGUGGCCUCCAUGCAGAUGAUGACCCUGCAUUGUAUCAAGUAGAAAAAUGUCUAACCAAGACAGAGGAGAAUACGAACCCUCUCAGCUCAUAGACAGGUGAUGAUGUGGUUUCCAACUGACUUUCAAGCAAACAGAUUUCCAAGCGUGCUUGAAGAGGGCAGUAAAUGAGAAGGCACAAGAUGCAAGAAGAGAGAGGGGUUUGCUGGAAAUCGUGGCUGACCACCUCAGAAGGACCCAGAAGACCCGAACUUUCUGGUUUUGCCUUUCACCUUGCUCUGAAACUUCUCCCAACACUGGAAGACAAGAAAGUUCCGCCCUACCUCCGCCCCACCUCCGCCCCCCGGACCAGGGAGAUUCUUCUCUUUGGGCAAGCAGGCUUGCUGGGCAAUCGUGAGCUGCUGAGUUCCCAUCCCCAUAGAAAGCUGGACAUGGACAUGCAUGCCUGUUUCUGCAGCAUGCUCAACUCCAGGAGCUCUCUGGUCUCCUAUAAAUAAAGGAUAACACAUUCGGCCUUCUUACCAUUUCAAAAUGCAAAA
rnacentral:lncRNA from 1 species